GAUGAACGCUGGCGGCGUGCCUAAUACAUGCAAGUCGAGCGAACAGACGAGGAGCUUGCUCCUCUGACGUUAGCGGCGGACGGGUGAGUAACACGUGGAUAACCUACCUAUAAGACUGGGAUAACUUCGGGAAACCGGAGCUAAUACCGGAUAAUAUAUUGAACCGCAUGGUUCAAUAGUGAAAGACGGUUUUGCUGUAACUUAUAGAUGGAUCCUCGCCGCAUUAGCUAGUUGGUAAGGUAACGGCUUACCAAGGCAACGAUGCGUAGCCGACCUGAGCGGGUGAUCGGCCACACUGGAACUGAGACACGGUCCAGACUCCUACGGGAGGCAGCAGUAGGGAAUCUUCCGCAAUGGGCGAAAGCCUGACGGAGCAACGCCGCGUGAGUGAUGAAGGUCUUCGGAUCGUAAAACUCUGUUAUUAGGGAAGAACAAAUGUGUAAGUAACUAUGCACGUCUUGACGGUACCUAAUCAGAAAGCCACGGCUAACUACGUG
rnacentral:rRNA from 1 species